ACGACUACGCUAUCACUCCUACGGGAGGCAGCAGUGAGGAAUAUGGACAAUGGAGAACUCUGAUCCAGCCAUGCCGCGUGCAGGAUGACGGCCCUAUGGGUGUAAACUGCUUUAUACGGGAAUAAACCUCUCUACGUGUAGAGAGCUGAAGGUACCGUAAGAAUAAGGACCGGCUAACUCCGUGCCAGCAGCCGCGGUAAUACGGAGGGUCCAAGCGUUAUCCGGAUUAUUGGGUUUAAAGGGUCCGCAGGCGGGAUAUUAAGUCAGUGGUGAAAGCCUACAGCUUAACUGUAGCACUGCCAUUGAUACUGGUAUUCUUGAGUGUGGUUGAAGUGGGCGGAAUAUGUCAUGUAGCGGUGAAAUGCAUAGAUAUGACAUAGAACACCUAUUGCGAAGGCAGCUCACUAAGCCAUUACUGACACUCAGAUGCAGAAGCGUGGGGAGCAAACAGGAUUAGAUACCCUGGUAG
rnacentral:rRNA from 1 species